rnacentral:lncRNA from 1 species
AAAGAUAAAUGUUUGAGUAUUAAAUUGAUGCAUAUGUUAAACAUUAAUAUAACAUGUGAAUAAAAUUGAUGAUUUUAUCAAACAUUAAUAUAUAUGUCACGACCCGGAACUCCUAUCGAGCUCGUGACAACCGUCGCGACAUCCCGAUAGGCACUCAUUACCCCGAAUGCCGAUCGAAACCCCGCAAGGUUUAACAUCAGCUUCUGCAUCUCUCCAGUGAGUGACAGUUAUUAAAUCUCACAUUUCAAAAAAAAUCAUAAGUCAUUUCCAAAUCAAAACAAUAAAAUAUUACUUUUUGACUCACAGGGGCAUUUUCGUCAUUUUUCUUCGAAAACACCAAAACUCGCCAAAAACAUGGUGUAAAAGCUAAAUAUGUUCAUACAUACUUUAAAUCAAAUAACUGAAGAAUAAAAUUACUUUUACAGUGACACGUGGGCCCCCAACUAACCAAGAAGGUGUAGGGCUACGAACCUUUACUUUGUAGGAUGUAACUUCGAGAUUAAUUCUCGUCUUAAUCAACUAUCAACAAAUUGUCCUGAGCCUAAAAAAUGGAUAGGAAGAUGGGUGAGAUUAUGAUUACAUAAUCCUAGUGAGUAAACAAUUACCAUCAAAAGCAUCUAAAGCCGAGUAGAUGGAGACAAUAUAAAAACAUUAUAUCUCAAUAAUGUUCAUAACGCAAAAUUUGUUUCAAUCUAUACCAAACAAUUUAUUUUCAUCAAAAUUUCUCGGCUUAUGAAUUUCUUAAACUUGGCCCCUGCCAAAAUCAUUCUCAUGGGUACCUUCGUCAAUGUAUCCCACUGAAACCACCAAGGCUGUUCAAUGACCCAUACUCAUAAACAUGUUUUCACAUCUAACACAUAGUCGUUCCUUGGCGUUGACUGAGUCUCACUCUCACGUGGUGGCCCGAACGUGAGGUGCACUCAAAUCAUACAUCAGGAGAUACUACAUCCAACAUCUCCCCCCGGAGGUAGUUAUAUAAUUGAGUUAUCGUGCCCCUCUUAUAGGCAGUCCACGGAAACCCCCACCACUGUAGUGACCGUUUAAUAUACCACAAGACCUAUAAAAUUUUCAGUAGCAUAAUAUGACGAAUAAAAUUUAAUCCAGUCUACCGAGACUAAUCCAAAACUGUUCACAUAUUUCAUGCCAACCCCAAAAAUUUAGCCAUCAUGCUACCAUAGUGUCAUAAGCCCCAAUUUCAAUAACAUAUAAAAUCAUAAAUUUCAACAUAGUCUCCAUAUGCUCAAUUUUCCCAAAACAAUAUUUGAUUUCAAAACCAGUAUAAAUCUCAUUUUUAUUAAAAAAAAUAUUUUAAUUGAAAAAUAUAAUAUUUUAUAAUUUAAACUCACCAUUCAAUAAAAGCAUCAAUCAAGUAUAAUUACUCUAGAUAUUUAAGACGAUAAAUUGUCCACUCAUAGUAUUAGGAGUAGAAAUACUCUCAUUUUCAGUCCGCAGGUACAAUCUUUUACCCGUAUCUAAUGGCUCACCACCUAGCCAUAAUCCAUGACACAUAUUCCAAUUAAAUUGUGUCUAACAGUCAUAAGUUAUUUUAAGCUCGAUGUAUAUGCAUGAUAUGAAAUGAAAAAUGCACGGGUAGCCAUCUAGACCCGGUAUUGGCCUAAGUCGAUUUUUCAUCCGAUAAAUUGGCCAAUGCGUUCAAUUUCACUCCAACUUGCUCCAUUUCUUUUCCAAUCCCUCAACUCACCAAACACAACUAAUUAACACACAAUUAGGCAAAAUUUAUCUUCACUUUUCUUCUUGGAACUUUCGGCCAACAAUGGUACACUAACUCCGUAAUUUUUCCUACUUAAUUUUCUCUCCAUGAUUCAUUAAUUCCUACACCAAAAACUAUUAUUUCUUAAUCAAAUCACCUAGAAUAACAUCCCAUUCUUCCUCAUUAUUCACUUAGAGAAUUCGGCUAUUGAUGGGCACCAAACCUUUGGUGGUUUUCUUCACUUGUUUUCAUGCUACACAUCAUUAAUCACCUAAAAACACUAACAUACCUAAAAAUCAAACCAAUCCAAGAUCAUUCUCUCUCCAUACCCAUUUUGACCAGCCAUGAAUUCAUCAUGAAAACAUGUAAUUUAACCAUGGAAAUUAAGGGAAAAUGCAUGGGUAAGGUAAAUCACUAGCAAAAUCAAAGAAAUUUUACCUUUGCUUGAUCAAAUCCUUGAAUUCCAACACUUUCUCUUUGAUUUUUCCCACCUAGGAUUUGUUCUUCCUUGGUUUCUCUUCUCUUCUGGUUUGGCUGAUCACUAUG